rnacentral:rRNA from 1 species
GAUGAACGCUGGCGGCGUGCCUAAUACAUGCAAGUCGAGCGAACAGACGAGGAGCUUGCUCCUCUGACGUUAGCGGCGGACGGGUGAGUAACACGUGGAUAACCUACCUAUAAGACUGGGAUAACUUCGGGAAACCGGAGCUAAUACCGGAUAAUAUAUUGAACCGCAUGGUUCAAUAGUGAAAGACGGUUUUGCUGUCACUUAUAGAUGGAUCCGCGCCGCAUUAGCCAGUUGGUAAGGUAACGGCUUACCAAGGCGACGAUGCGUAGCCGACCUGAGAGGGUGAUCGGCCACACUGGAACUGAGACACGGUCCAGACUCCUACGGGAGGCAGCAGUAGGGAAUCUUCCGCAAUGGGCGAAAGCCUGACGGAGCAACGCCGCGUGAGUGAUGAAGGUCUUCGGAUCGUAAAACUCUGUUAUUAGGGAAGAACAAAUGUGUAAGUAACUAUGCACGUCUUGACGGUACCUAAUCAGAAAGCCACGGCUAACUACGUG